GAUGAACGCUGGCGGCGUGCCUAAUACAUGCCAGUCGAGCGCACGGACGAGAAGCUUGCUUCUCUGAUGUUAGCGGCGGACGGGUGAGUAACACGUGGAUAACCUACCUAUAAGACUGGGAUAACUUCGGGAAACCGGAGCUAAUACCGGAUAAUAUUUUGAACCGCAUGGUUCAAAAGUAAAAGACGGUCUUGCUGUCACUUAUAGAUGGAUCCGCGCUGCAUUAGCUAGUUGGUAAGGUAACGGCUUACCAAGGCAACGAUGCAUAGCCGACCUGAGAGGGUGAUCGGCCACACGGGAACGGAGACACGGUCCAGACUCCUACGGGAGGCAGCAGUAGGGAAUCUUCCGCAAUGGGCGAAAGCCUGACGGAGCAACGCCGCGUGAGUGAUGAAGGUCUUCGGAUCGUAAAACUCUGUUAUUAGGGAAGAAGAUAUGUGUAAGUAACUGUGCACAUCUUGACGGUACCUAAUCAGAAAGCCACGGCUAACUACGUG
rnacentral:rRNA from 1 species